UACGUAGGGUGCAAGCGUUAAUCGGAAUUACUGGGCGUAAAGCGUGCGCAGGCGGUUAUGUAAGACAGAUGUGAAAUGCCCGGGCUUAACCUGGGAACUGCAUUUGUGACUGCAUGGCUAGAGUGUGUCAGAGGGGGGUAGAAUUCCACGUGUAGCAGUGAAAUGCGUAGAGAUGUGGAGGAAUACCGAUGGCGAAGGCAGCCCCCUGGGAUAACACUGA
rnacentral:rRNA from 1 species